AGAGCCAAACACGGAGAGCCCCCUCAACACAGAGGCCGCAGAGCUCUGGAAGAACCAGCCAGCUUACAAGAAACGCCUCCACGAAUCGUACGCAAAGCAUAUGAAGAGCCAGGAAAGCUGAUGAGCCCCCCCUCUGCCCCCCCCCCACGUGUGCCCUUUGACCUCUUCGUCCUCUUGGCCUCUGCGUACUCGUAUUAUAGACUGUUUUUAAAUUUAUUUGGUCUUUUCACCCUCCUUUUAAUGUAUAAAUAAACACAUUU